GUUAGAAGUAGUGAUAAGCAAGGCAUGCUGUCAGUACCUGAAAAAAUAUCUUUUCUACUAUGUUUCAGAGUGGCCCAUAGUAGUUCUUGUUUAACAUCACGUCUAGUGGAUUAUCAACUGCUUUAUAGAAGAGUGAACUUGCGGCAUGUAAAUACGAUGAGGAAGAGGCACUUUGUUGCUGUCAAGAAUAGCCUGUGAUGUUGUAUGACUGCUUCAAGUCUUGAUGAUCCAAAGACAAGAGAUCUGAUGAUAUCAUCUCUUCGUUUCCUCACAUCCCCUUUUCCUGACUGGUGUUAUCCACGCUUUUCUCUCAGAUUGUCUAAUUGAGUAGCAUAAUUAAAUUAAACU
ensembl:lncRNA